AGAGUUUGAUCCUGGCUCAGAUUGAACGCUGGCGGCAGGCUUAACACAUGCAAGUCGAGCGGGGGAAGUUGCUUCGGUAACUAACCUAGCGGCGGACGGGUGAGUAAUGCUUAGGAAUCUGCCUAUUAGUGGGGGACAACAUUCCGAAAGGAAUGCUAAUACCGCAUACGCCCUACGGGGGAAAGCAGGGGAUCACUUGUGACCUUGCGCUAAUAGAUGAGCCUAAGUCAGAUUAGCUAGUUGGUGGGGUAAAGGCCUACCAAGGCGACGAUCUGUAGCGGGUCUGAGAGGAUGAUCCGCCACACUGGGACUGAGACACGGCCCAGACUCCUACGGGAGGCAGCAGUGGGGAAUAUUGGACAAUGGGGGGAACCCUGAUCCAGCCAUGCCGCGUGUGUGAAGAAGGCCUUUUGGUUGUAAAGCACUUUAAGCGAGGAGGAGGAGCUCUUGGUUAAUACCCAAGAUGCUUGGACGUUACUCGCAGAAUAAGCACCGGCUAACUCUGUGCCAGCAGCCGCGGUAAUACAGAGGGUGCGAGCGUUAAUCGGAUUUACUGGGCGUAAAGCGUACGUAGGCGGCUUUUUAAGUCGGAUGUGAAAUCCCUGAGCUUAACUUAGGAAUUGCAUUCGAUACUGGGAAGCUAGAGUAUGGGAGAGGAUGGUAGAAUUCCAGGUGUAGCGGUGAAAUGCGUAGAGAUCUGGAGGAAUACCGAUGGCGAAGGCAGCCAUCUGGCCUAAUACUGACGCUGAGGUACGAAAGCAUGGGGAGCAAACAGGAUUAGAUACCCUGGUAGUCCAUGCCGUAAACG
rnacentral:rRNA from 1 species